rnacentral:misc_RNA from 1 species
GAAAUUUGAAGCUUCUCCGGCGAAACAAAAGUAUGUCCGGUUACCCUCACAAUCCCUCCGGCUAUGGUUACGGCCAACAACCACCACCGCACUCCUCCACUCCAUACGGCGGUUCAGCUCCAGUACCACCACAACAACAAGUCCACAGCUCACCUUACGGUGACCUAAAUAAACCUCCGAAGGACAAUACCCCACCUUACGGAUCGAACCCGUUUUCGUCACUGAUGCCGUCGAUUUUCCCACCGGGAACGGACCCGACUGUGAU